rnacentral:rRNA from 1 species
UACGAAGGGGGCUAGCGUUGCUCGGAAUCACUGGGCGUAAAGCGCACGUAGGCGGAUCGUUAAGUCGGGGGUGAAAUCCUGGAGCUCAACUCCAGAACUGCCUUCGAUACUGGCGAUCUAGAGUCCGGAAGAGGUGAGUGGAACUCCUAGUGUAGAGGUGGAAUUCGUAGAUAUUAGGAAGAACACCAGUGGCGAAGGCGGCUCACUGGUCCGGUACUGACGCUGAGGUGCGAAAGCGUGGGGAGCAAACAGG